AACGCGAAGAACCUUACCUGGGUUUGACAUCUCCUGACAGCCGUAGAGAUACGGUUUCUGUAGCAAUACAGCAGGAAGACAGGUGCUGCAUGGCUGUCGUCAGCUCGUGUGGUGACAUGUUGGGUUAAGUCCCGCAACGAGCGCAACCCUUGUCUUUAGUUGCCAGCAUUCAGUUGGGCUCUCUAAAGAGACUGCCGUGGUGAACACGGAGGAAGGUGGGGAUGACGUCAAGUCCUCAUGGCCUUUAUAUCCAGGGCGACACACGUGAUACAAUGGACGGUACAGAGGGAAGCGAAACCGCGAGGUGGAGCCAAUCUCAAAAAGCCGUUCUCAGUUCGGAUUGGAGUCUGCAACUCGACUCCAUGAAGUUGGAAUCGCUAGUAAUCGCGGAUCAGCACGCCGCGGUGAAUACGUUCCCGGGCCUUGUACACACCGGAGUA
rnacentral:rRNA from 1 species